rnacentral:lncRNA from 1 species
UUCAAUGAUUCUGUUACAAUUAAAAAAAAAUGUGACAGUAACAUUGAAUUUUUAAAUUGAAACAAAAUGAUUUCCAUUUUGAAUAGUUUUUAACAUGAACGAGCAGUUUCUUGCUGUCCGCCAUUAUUAUCAUUGCUGCAAGUAUCCUGUGUUCGGCUUCUGUGCCAAGUGCUAACUUACGACAUUUUUUCCCAAGAGGAGGAGGAAUUGUGUUGGAAACGAAAGACGUUGGAAACAAAAUGAUUUCCAUUUUGAAUAGUUUUUAACAUGAACGAGCAGUUUCUUGCUGUCCGCCAUUAUUAUCAUUGCUGCAAGUAUCCUGUGUUCGGCUUCUGUGCCAAGUGCUAAUUUAAGACAUUUUUUCCCAAGAGGAGGAGGAAUUGUGUUGGAAACGAAAGACGUCCCCAACGGCCGACGACGAGAUCCGGCCGGACAACCAGGAUUCCGGCCCAUUUACGGGAGUACGAUCUUCGGGGCCCCCGAUAGGUGGUCCCUUGUCACCCGCCUAACUGUACUGAUUCUUUGUGCCCUUUCCCCCCCCCCCCCCUGGUGUCAAUGUAAUGUUUUGGAGGGGGUCGGGCCCUCUCUGUCUCUAUCUAUCCAUACUACAAGUCAGUUCAAUACAAGUCAGGUUAGCAAUCUAAAAUCAGUGUCCUCAUCUUUAUUCAUUUCAUCCAAUAUUCGGUAAGGCAAACUUGACACUACUUCCCUGCCGAAAAAAUUGAUAGAAAAGACAAAUCAAAACUGAAAAAGAUGAAAGCUGCAGCUUUUGACAGUGAUGAUGAUGGCGAAGGUAUUGCAAAUCAGUUUACAAAAAUUUUCAUGAUUUUGAGCUUUUUUUAAUCUAUAAUAAUGCGAUGCGAACUGUAUGCAGACAACUGAUGAGCCUAAACCUAUUGCCGGCGGAAAAAAUAUCGAAACAAUUCUAUGUCAUUGUAGAAGAAGUAAGUAAGAUGCGUGAUGGCGCACUACUGAAAACCUUUUGCAAUUACGUAGAACGGCAAUGGAUCAAACAUUCGUUAUGGCCACCAACAACAUGGUCGAUGUUUAUGGAACAUCGUCGCACAAACAACAAUGCAGAAGGUACUACACUAUUACACUAUAACAUUAUACUAUAAAUUUUAAAAAAAUUUAAUUAGGGUACCACAAUUCCUUAAAAGUGGAAGUUGCAACAGCCAGAGUGUAUCUGGUAAAAUUUAUUCAGUUAAUGAAAGCCGAGGCAGAAAAGAUAGACUGGAAAGCCAAAUUAUUGUCGCAAGAGCAACAACUACAAAAGUAAAAGAGAUGGCGAUGAAUUGGAUGACCAAGUCAGUAACAAUGAAAAAUAUAUAGGACAAGAAAGAGGGAGAGAUGCCAAUGCAUAUGAUUUAUGCAAAGAUGGAGAGCAUAGCAAAUGUGUAGAAGAUGAGGAAGAAGAGAAUGUUAAUGAAGAUAGACUGGAAAGCCAAAUUAUUGAAAAUAAAGCACAGUGAAAUGGUGAAGAAGAUUGAGAAGAAAAGUAUGAUGAGGAAGGAAGGAAAACUCGCAAAAAGACUAAGGUGGUUGAUGUGAGAAAGAAAUCAGAACAAAAAACUAGCCACGAUGAAUAUUAACCCUAGUGAACUUGAACAGGCUCAUGAUACUGAUUUCCAUUCAACGGUGAAACUUAGUUACUAUUACGAUAGUUUUUUUUAUUCUUGUUUCUAAUGGUAAACAUUAAUUUAACAGAUUAUAAAACCUGUUA